rnacentral:rRNA from 1 species
ACGCUGGCGGCGUGCUUAACACAUGCAAGUCGAACGAUGAAGCCUAGCUUGCUAGGUGGAUUAGUGGCGAACGGGUGAGUAAUACGUGAGUAACCUACCUUUAACUCUGGGAUAAGCCUGGGAAACUGGGUCUAAUACCGGAUACGACCAAUCUCCGCAUGGGGUGUUGGUGGAAAGCGUUAUGUAGUGGUUAUAGAUGGGCUCACGGCCUAUCAGCUUGUUGGUGAGGUAACGGCUCACCAAGGCGACGACGGGUAGCCGGCCUGAGAGGGUGACCGGCCACACUGGGACUGAGACACGGCCCAGACUCCUACGGGAGGCAGCAGUGGGGAAUAUUGCACAAUGGGCGCAAGCCUGAUGCAGCGACGCCGCGUGAGGGAUGACGGCCUUCGGGUUGUAAACCUCUGUUAGCAGGGAAGAAGAGAAAUUGACGGUACCUGCAGAGAAAGCGCCGGCUAACUACGUGCCAGCAGCCGCGGUAAUACGUAGGGCGCGAGCGUUGUCCGGAAUUAUUGGGCGUAGAGAGCUUGUAGGCGGUUUGUCGCGUCUGCUGUGAAAGGCCGGGGCUUAACCCCGUGUAUUGCAGUGGGUACGGGCAGACUAGAGUGCAGUAGGGGAGACUGGAAUUCCUGGUGUAGCGGUGGAAUGCGCAGAUAUCAGGAGGAACACCGAUGGCGAAGGCAGGUCUCUGGGCUGUAACUGACGCUGAGAAGCGAAAGCAUGGGGAGCGAACAGGAUUAGAUACCCUGGUAGUCCAUGCCGUAAACGUUGGGCACUAGGUGUGGGGGACAUUCCACGUUUUCCGCGCCGUAGCUAACGCAUUAAGUGCCCCGCCUGGGGAGUACGGCCGCAAGGCUAAAACUCAAAGAAAUUGACGGGGGCCCGCACAAGCGGCGGAGCAUGCGGAUUAAUUCGAUGCAACGCGAA